UACGUAGGUGGCAAGCGUUGUCCGGAUUUAUUGGGUUUAAAGGGUGCGUAGGCGGCCCCGUAAGUCAGUGCUGAAAUAUCCCGGCUUAACCGGGAGGGUGGCAUUGAUACUGCGAGGCUUGAGUAAAGUUGAGGUAGGCGGAAUUGACGGUGUAGCGGUGAAAUGCUUAGAUAUCGUCAAGAACACCGAUAGUGUAGACAGCUUACUAGCUUAACUUGACGCUGAGGCACGAAAAGUGUGGGGAUCAAACAGG
rnacentral:rRNA from 1 species